GCAUUAAUGGGGUAGUGGUAACCUGGGUCGUUGCCACAUGAGUGUUGCUCGACCCGCCGGGGGUUCGAUUCCCUCUUAAUGCA